GUGCUCACUUUGGCAGCACACAUACUAAAAUUGGAAUGACAAAGAUAAGCAUGGCCCCUGUACAAGGAUGACACACAAACUAAAUAAAACUCUUUUACUUAG
ensembl:snRNA U6 U6 spliceosomal RNA